rnacentral:piRNA from 1 species
AAGCACUUUUGUAUCUGAGCUCUCAGUGG